AACGAACGCUGGCGGCAUGCCUAACACAUGCAAGUCGAACGGGACCUUCGGGUCUAGUGGCGCACGGGUGCGUAACGCGUGGGAACCUGCCCUUAGGUUCGGCAUAACUCCCCGAAAGGGGUGCUAAUACCGGAUAAUGUCUUCGGACCAAAGAUUUAUCGCCUUUGGAUGGGCCCGCGUUGGAUUAGCUCGUUGGUAGGGUAAAAGCCUACCAAGGCGACGAUCCAUAGCUGGUCUGAGAGGAUGAUCAGCCACACUGGGACUGAGACACGGCCCAGACUCUUACGGGAGGCAGCAGUGGGGAAUAUUGGACAAUGGGCGAAAGCCUGAUCCAGCAAUGCCGCGUGAGUGAUGAAGGCCUUAGGGUUGUAAAGCUCUUUUACCCGGGAUGAUAAUGACAGUACCGGGAGAAUAAGCUCCGGCUAACUCCGUG
rnacentral:rRNA from 1 species